rnacentral:rRNA from 1 species
AUGUCUAGGGGCUCUGAGAGGAGAAUCCCCCACACUGGUACUGAGACACGGACCAGACUCCUACGGGAGGCAGCAGUAAGGAAUAUUGGUCAAUGGGCGGAAGCCUGAACCAGCCAUGCCGCGUGCAGGAUGACUGCCCUAUGGGUUGUAAACUGCUUUUGUCCAGGAAUAAACCUAGAUACGUGUAUCUAGCUGAAUGUACUGGAAGAAUAAGGAUCGGCUAACUCCGUGCCAGCAGCCGCGGUAAUACGGAGGAUCCGAGCGUUAUCCGGAUUUAUUGGGUUUAAAGGGUGCGUAGGCGGCCUAUUAAGUCAGGGGUGAAAUACGGUGGCUCAACCAUCGCAGUGCCUUUGAUACUGAUGGGCUUGAAUCCAUUUGAAGUGGGCGGAAUAAGACAAGUAGCGGUGAAAUGCAUAGAUAUGUCUUAGAACUCCGAUUGCGAAGGCAGCUCACUAAGCUGGUAUUGACGCUGAUGCACGAAAGCGUGGGGAUCGAA